UACGAAGGGGGGCGAGCGUUGUUCGGAAUUACUGGGCGUAAAGGGCGCGUAGGCGGGCGACCCCAAGUCAGAUGUGAAAGUCCUGGGCUUAACCUGGGGGACUGCAUUUGAUACUGGGUUGCUUGAAUUCGGGAGAGGAUAGCGGAAUUCCCAGUGUAGAGGUGAAAUUCGUAGAUAUCGAGAGGAACACCGGUGGCGAAGGCGGCUUCCUGGACAGUGACUGACGCUGAGACGCGAAAGCGUGGGGAGCAAACAGG
rnacentral:rRNA from 1 species